rnacentral:lncRNA from 1 species
GUGCACUACCUGCAGGUUCCUCCGCUUUGUGCUCCUCACUACUCCGAUACAGGCUCAGGCUGCACAGAUGAGCACAGAUCUUAUAAUAUGAUGGGCCACUAUCUGCGUGCAAACAUCUUUCCAGGGCCCCCAGUUGUGUGGUCAUCGCUGGUUAAGGACUCAUAUGCUCAUCAUUCUCUACCAGCAUUUAUCCAUGAUCCAGAGCACUGGCACGGCCACAAAACAGAUCACUUAGUGAACUGGACGGAGCAGAACUUUCUCGACAAACGACUGCAUAAGCUGCUGAAGGAAAUCGAGUUCAAGGGUGCGUCCAAAUGAGCUCGACAUUUUCGGAAACCGCAGCAAAUAAACAAUCACACCUUCAGAGAAGUGUUAUAACAACACCC